GAGGAGGGCAGCAGAGCCCAGAGGGCACUUGUUUGUAUCUUUCCCAGGUGUGGGCUGUGCUUGCGGGGCAGAUGGGGGGCGGGCCAGCACAUGCCAAGUCCCAGGGCGGCAGCAGGGACUCCGGCCAGUUUCGCCACUGGAUCCUGGCAGCCUGACCUAGUGGCCGCAGCGACUCUGAAGAAGUCAGCACACGAGGGCCACGUGAGUGUGCAUAAGGGGUACAAGUGUGGUCUCUGAAAGCCAGUGGAAAGUUGACGAUUGGCUCACUGAACACGGAGAGGUGCCCCAGGUCCCUUUCCUGCAUCCUGUGUACGAUGGAUCCAGUAAAGAGCGAGGCACCGCUCUCGGGCUCAUGUGUGGCCGUCUUCUUGGUGGAAAGGAAAUAGCUUUGGUUACAUCAGGGAAGACUUCAAACUUCCCUUCUCCAGUGCUUUCCAAUGUUUUGAUGUUUCAUAUUCUUGGUUUCCAAACA